rnacentral:tRNA from 1 species
UUUAUGUUAUUCAAUAUUAUGAUACUCCACUUUCUAUGGAGAGGAACUAUAAUGGUACAUAAAA